rnacentral:sRNA from 1 species
CACACAUGAUGUAGUACUCAGUACCUGGGAAUAAUAGGUUAUUUUACUAGCUGCAUAGUUUGGAGAUACCUAUGGAUACUCUGCACAUGCUAGAUGGACCUUGGGAAGUUAUGCCAGAUGAUAAAACACAGAAACCAAAGGCCACACACUGGUUAUAAUGAUACUUUCUUUUUUUCUUAGUAAAUGUCUGUUACAGCCACACCUAUAGAAGCAGAUUAGCGGUUCCUAGGGACUAUGGAGACAGGAAUGAGGAGUAAUUAUUAAUGGGUCAAAAGGAAAUGCUUUUGAGGAAAUGAAAAUUUCUAGAAGGAAGGUAGAGCUGGUGGCUGCACAUUGUGAAAGCAAAAACAUGAAAAUGAUUAAAAUACUAAGCUGGGUAUUACAUAUAUUCACCAUAAUUUAAACCACUCAUGUACACAGACUUUCCAAACACCUUUCUCCAGCUCACUCUUCCUCAAGAUUGCUCAUCUCUCUUGAUACGCGCCAAGGGUCAUUUUCCCAUAGUCACAUAUCCUAAAGAUGAACCCAUUAAAACCACACGCUUUCCCAUCCCAAGCCUCCCACAUGGCACCAGAUUUCUCACCACCCUCCAGAGUAGACCGUGUGUGACAAUGCUUCCAUUUUGCUGAGGGCUACAUUUUGCUAGUGCUGACGUAGUUUUCUUAGGUCACUAGACAGAGGAUGAACUCAAUUCCCUGUUCCUUGGUUCAAUGAUCCCAUUUCACCUUAGGCUGGUUUCUUGACAGCACAUUUUCUAGUGCACAAAGGACUUCACUUUUAUGUUAUUUGUAUGGGAAGGCUAUUGGAUUGACGUUUAUUCCAGGCUGGACUCUCAGGAUGAAGUAGAUUAUGGCCUCACAGGGGCAGUAGUAGGACUGUUGUUGGCUUGCUUUAAAUGGAAAUUACUGCCUUCACUAGGGGCCAUUAGCACAUCAAAAUGGUGUUUGUUGAGCCAGGAAAAGUGAUACAUUAUGUUUGCAUUUAUUCUUUGGUCCCCAAAGACUAAUUGUUGGUUUGUGUUUUUAAACACCCUUUCAAGUGCUAAGAGCCUCUAAUGAGUUAAAUUAACACACCAUUAGGGUUAAGAAUAGUGGUGUUGACGUGGACACAGUAGACCAAUUACUGGUGCUGGACUAUAGGAUGAAGCCCUGUAUGCACAGAACCCAGCUGCCCUGCCAUUUCUGAAAGACUAGGACACUUGAUAGAGCAUUCUCCACCCCCCGACACUUGUUUUGCUUAUCCUUGCAACUGUCUUUUGCCAUGAGGACCAGCCAUUAUGCAAACAAGGACACCAUGGCUUGGAGAGGCAUUGUGCCCAAUCAGACCAGCAAGAGGGUUGGGUGGGGACCCCAGAGAAUACCUGCUUUUGUUCAUAACACUUCUUGGACUUCUGGUGUUUGCACAGGGUCCAGCUUGAUACAGAGUGAAAGGUGAGCUUCCAUGAUGCCACUUAAAGAUCUGAUUUAGCUCUAGUGGAUAAUCUCUUCCUGCAAUCCAGCCAGCAUAGCUGGGGGUGGGGUGGGGUAUACCUACAAUAUGAUGAGGUGCUUGGCUCUAAGGGGGAGAGGAACUUGCUCCAUUCUGCAGAGAUAGUACAGUGGACAUGUUAGAAACUUCCAGAAACGUAGAUGCUCUAAGUGAAUCUGUUCCACUGUCUAGGAUGAGGUCAUCUCUGUCAAUCACUAUCAUGAUUUUAGAUGAUUUUUGGGUUGCAGGGAUGUUAUUAUCUUCCGUCCUCUCGGCUGAGCGAUAGAACCCAGAGGAUGAUUUUUAUAUAGCGAAACACAGUGAAAUUGAGGCUGCUAGGAACACUCUCUUGGCACAGUUUGUGAUAUGUCAGGUAGACUCCUCCUUUGGGCUGUUCUGGCUUCAUUGUUUAUCCUUAUAAUCCUGCUUGGAUGGGCUCCUAGAUUCUUCACAUAUCUCUAGGAAAAAGCCAAGUUAACUUGUGUUGGGCAGUGGGAAAAGGUUCAUAUCAAGACAUGGACAAUACUGGGGACAGGGUCAGAAUUACCCAAAACCAAGGACCUCCUCUUUGUCAUAGGAGGGAGCUAUUUCUGGUGCUUUUAACAGAGACAAGUUGUCACUGUCUGAAGACUGAUAACCAAGGUCUGUCUCCCUAGAUCUAUGCUUGAUGCCAUCCCUUUGCCGUUCUGAGCAGUAUGGCACUUAGGGGGCUGCUCUGUGCUAGGGGAAUUUGGUUUCUUUUUAAUACGUAAUAAUCACCAUUACAUCUCAAUUACUUAACAAAUAGAGAAGCACGGGGCCAUGUUAUUUCCAAAGAGCCUCCUGAGAGUAUGGCUGGAGAUCUCCAAAUGUUAUCCAAAAUUAGCCUGGAGAGGGCGGGCGAUCAGAUCUUUUAAUAUGUGCCCAAGGGAACACACGCGCAUUAUGUACUACUAGUGUGGGCGUGCUGUGCCUAUUCAUGGCUCGCACGCAGUCCUGGAAAACACCAUGCUCCUCCUCUUCCUGCUAGGAGAUACCUAGGCCCAUUAGAAGAGGCUGCAACAAGACCCUUUCUACUUCCAAGGGUGACAAUUGGAUGAGCUUUUUCUUCUCUUAAGCUGAGAAGCCCCAGAUUCUGGCUGGAAAGGAAAUAAUAGGUCACAGACAUAAUAAAAGGUACAUAAGUAAAUAUGAAAUAGUGGCAAAAAGACGUGAAAUUGUUUGAUGGGUCAGCAAGCAAACAAACAAACAAACAAAACCUCACAACUGGAUAGUGAGACAUUCCUCCUCCCAUUUGACCACAACGGUUGCCUUUUAACUCUGGUUUGUCAGUCAGUGCUGUUAAUAUUUUAUGAAAAGGGUGCUUAGGGCAAGGCAGCCAUAGACCAUUUUCUUGGGAAAUGUACAGUUUCUCAAGGCGUUUGUUUUUCAAGCCUUGGCAGUUGGCACUUUUCUUUUGAGAAAGCAGGAGUUGUUGGGGGCAGACCCUUAGUCUUAUUUCCAAGACUUGGGGUUUGGCUUAGUGUAGAAUUGUGAUCAUGAAAGCAGCUUUGGUUUACUGGUGGCAUAGCACUCAAAUAAAUUUGGGUUUAGCUAAAAGCCCUCAACAUAUAAUGAGGAUUACAAGUUAGGGAUCGGCCUGCCCCUGAAGCGUUCGAUUUCAUUUCGAUGGGCAUCUGGUAGGGCUCACUGCUUGCUGGGGGCAGAAGGCAGGCUUUUCAUCUACUGGAGCCUGCAGCCCUCAGAUGCAGGAAGCCUCCUUCACACCAGCUCUUCCUGCACAGUUUCUACUGACCUUUCAAGUCUUGCAGACCUGCCAAUGUGAAACUUCUCUGACCUUAAUUGCUGGACGCCUUUCCAUCCCCCUCCUCUCAAAAUGGAAAAUGGAAGUUACCCAGCCAGUGAGUUAAACUUUUCCCUUUAAAGGGGGUGCCAAAUCAUUUAUCCAUUUAUGUUUUCAACUCACCCCACAGUAACAAAAAAAAAAUCAGUGAUUUUGGUCAAGGCCUUGGAAGCUCCAAUGUUUCACAGUGCAUGAAGCCAUGCUACAGAAUGUUACUGCUGUCAUUUGGAUGUCUUUCUAUUAAGAUCCAGAGGUGACUGCUCUGGAUUGGGGUACUGAGCACUUUUUGAGGGAGACGUAUCUUUUUCCUAUUGGUGUUGUUUAUGGUAACAUUCAGCUUAGUACGAUGAAUAGGGCUGUGCUUCCAGUUGUUGCUGAUCAGACAUGGAUGAGUAAUGAUUAGCACAUAUAUGUUUAUGUUAUUUCAGCAGAAAAUCCGUGCACUGUCGGUGAUGAAUUGAAGGUUAAACGACAAAUCUUCCUCGAAACUAUUCCUGUUGUCUAGUCUAUGAACUGAAAACUGGAUUAACCUUUAAUUACCCUCAACGAUCUCUCAACCCCGAGACAACAUUGCCACUGCCACCAGUAGUAUUUGCAUAUACAAUUUAACGAGAGAAACAUCUGUUUGCAUAUUUGGAAUCAUUACUAGCAUGCAGAUUAAUGGAUACUUGCAGUGAGGUGUCACUUUCGUACACAGGUUCUCCAUUCUUCCCCAUAACCAGGAAGAUGUGAGUCUGAGGUAUCUUCUUGGUAGGAAGGUUACAAUAUUACAAAUCUCCUAUGGAUGGACUUGGCCAUCUGUGAGCACACUUUAGUGGACUGAUGCUCUGGAUAACACAUGGAUACCUAGAGGAGGAGGAAGACCUAGAGAGCAGAGUCACAGAAAGAAGAAACAGGUGAUGACUUCUCAGGGUGGUAGGCAAAUGGAAUUUAGCUCGAUAGAUAUACUACCCUUCUCUCUGUGGUCUGGGAGUCACAUCUUCUUCUCCAAGUUGCUAAAGAAGAUAGAUUUUGAGGACACCAGAGUGCAUGGUUAAUCCAGAAGACACCAUUUCAUCCUCUUAACCAAGGAGGCCUUGCAUGUGGCAUACAAGUGAUCUGUUACCGAGCUCCAUCCCUCGUCUCUGGAUCCUGCAAAUCUGCUGCAUCUUGAGGAACACAUCCUGAAGGAUCCUAGAAACAUAGAUCCCCACUUCACAUACAGAUAGCCACCGUGAUAUCAUUCAUGAUACGGAUCUGUAAGGGACAACCUAAAACUGAACCGGCUUGGAGAGAUCACUCGCUGGUUAAGAGCAUGCUCCUGUCACAGAGGACCCCAUUCCCAGCACUCACAGGGACCGAUUCACAAUUUCCUGUGGUGCUGUCUAUGUACCAAAUUUAAUGGCCUCAAUGGUUCUUCCAGCAUGGAACCAGUCGAACUAAGUACUUGGCACCAGCUACAGCCGUAAUCAAUUGUGUGUGUGUGUGUGUACCAGAACGAUGCUUAUUUCUGUCUGAACAGAUGAGAACCAUCAGACUCUCUAUCACUUUUCUGCAAUUUUCUACAAAGUUGAAAGUUAUUCAAAAACAGUGAGAGUGGAGACUCCAAAAAAAAAAAAAACAAAAAAACAAAAAAACCAGACACUCCCUGUAAUAUUAAUCUUGCCAACUUGGUAGAGCCUGGAAUCAAAUAAGAGACAUCUUUGGGAGGGUUUGGGAGGCCAUUUCCUGGAAGCAUGGACUAACGGGGGUGGGGUGGAGAGGAAGCUCUCUUCGGUUGACAUUACCUUCUCAUGAAUGCCCAGACACGGAAAGGCCUGAGUGACAAGGACUGCUCACUUUAUCCACUCAACUUUGUGUCUACCUACUGAGUGCAUUGUACUGCAACUGCUGCUAUCAGACUACAGCUAAGACUGGCCUUCCAACAUGAAGCAAAUACCAGGCAUCUCUGUGAAUCCUGCAGGCCUCCAGCAUCAGCUUGGGACUACUGAAGCACGUACAUUCAGAGAGUGAGAGAUGCUGGCUUUUUCGGCCUUUCUAGCAUGCCCAUGGCCAUUACUGAACCACUUACCCUAUAGCACGCAAACCAAUUUAAGGAAUAGAUUAUACCCAUUGAUAGCAUAUAGUCAUUCUACUGUUUCUGUUACUGAUUGUCUCUUCCCCAGAGGAUCUGUUUGAACCUGGUUUUCUCAAUCUUACUUUGGUAACUUUUUGACAGUAGCAAAUCAACAGGGAUUCAGGUCCAAAGGAUGCCCAGCUGAAGAAACGGUAACAAGCCUAUUCGUUUUCAAGUCUUCUACACUCCAUAGACCCCCACUCUUUGCCCUUUGACCUGUUGUGGAUCUCUGCAGUAACCUCAGUGUUCUUCAGAAAGAAGCUUCUUCAACUAGGGCUGAGAGCUGCACUAGUGUUCUCAGUGUAAGGACACAUAAGUAAGGAUAACUAUUUAGAAGACAGGAGGACGAUGUAUCAAUUCAUCAAAAUCGUAGUUUAAUUAUACUUCUGCUGUUGCAAUUUUGAAAUACAUUUUAUGCUGGAAUGAAUUAUUCAUAUCUCCCUGUGCAUACUUUGUUUCUCUCCUCUGGAUAAAUAUUGAGAAACAGAAUGCCUAAUUCAAAAGACAGUUUUACUAUCCGUUUUCCAGUUUUCCUGCAGAUUUCCCAGAAAUGACUGAUACCUCCCCCUGCAGCAAGCGCACAUGAUUUGUGAUUUAUUUAUAGUACCCAUCACACUAAUUGCUCUCCAUCGGGCACCGGCACCUUGCCCCACUGCACAUAGAGGAGUCUUCCCAUGGUCCCCUCAGCAGCUUUUCAAUGCUGCCAAUAUUUUUCCACACAAACAAGGCUCCAACAGGCCCAGUCAUUCAGACUUACAAUAGGGAACAAAGUGUGCUGGAAUGUGAAGUCAUUUCCUCCUGUCUCUGGAGCCCAUUCUCUUUUUACUUGGCUGAGCAACCUCCCACGUGGUGAUGGAAUCAGGGUCUCAUUUCCUGUGACUUGGUGUCUCUCCAUGUUUAAUUUUCACAAAUGACAACUCACCCUCUACUCAGGGGAAGGGAGUGACCUGCUCUCUCAUCCUGCCUGGAUCUUAUUUCCUUGUAAAGUUGGCUGGGUCCAACUCCACCUCCCUACCCCAACAGUGCAUAUACAAACACACAUGUCUGCUUUCACUCCAUGGGAGCACAUACAUGUGCACCCACACAUCUUAUAUUUCUGAGUCAAAUCAAAAAAUCAUGUUUCUGUCUCUUCCAUAACAUUAUCUUAGGAAAGGACCUAGUUCUUCAAAGCAACCUUAUGUUUCGUUCUCUACUUAGCCUGGUAACAUAGUAUCUUGAUACCGCUAUACCAACAUGGCUACGAACAACCUUGCAUCAUGUUGAAUUCCUUGCUGCUAUUUUAUGUUCUUAGCCUUUCUACAACUGAAGGUAUAUACUCAGAAAUUCUUUACUUCUGCAUGGCACAUAUCAAUCUCAUACACAGUUUUGUCAGUUUGUUUCCAUAUAUAUUUAAAUUUAGUAUCUUCUCCAUUUUUCCUUUAUGUUUAAACACCUAAGGCAUAAACAUUACUCAAAAUUAAAAACAAUGACGAAUAGAAAUCUUAUUUCUUUUUCCCUUCUAAUUUUUAGUCAUUCUGUUCUCAUAGUCAUUUUGACUCAGUGCUGCCUUUUCAUUUGGGAGGGAGGUGGAGAGAAAUUUAUUUUUCCUUCUGUCUCACCUGCGACACCUUACACACACUUUUCAUUAUGUGUAGUUUUGCUUUCUCAGUUCCCAUUCAUUUCCCUUGCAGCAUAUUCCCCAACUCUACCAUCCACCAGAUCAUGUGAAGCCUCCUCCUUUAAUUUUUCUGACUCCAUACGGUUACCCUCUAUGGGUGUGUGAGCAUUUCUUCAAUCUUUCUUUGAACAUCAAGGUUAAUUUCAAUGAUUUGUAAAAAUCAAGGAAUGUAUCUCAGCAUAUUUCUGUUUUGUGAGGUAUAUUUUCAAAGUAAAUGGCUGAAAGCUAGGAUUCUGAGCCAGCAGGCAAGCACAUUCUGUAAUGGACAUUGCCCAUGAGAGAUGUAUGAGGGAUUCAUUUCCUUGAAGUCUCAAGGGUAUAACCGAUAUUUUUUAUAGCCUGCUUAUCAGAUUCAUUAUAAAACACAUCUUUAGGCAACUUUAAUUUGCAUCCCUCUUAUAAUAAUGAAAGUGAAACAACUUUUGUAUGUAUGUAUGUAUGUAUGUAUGUAUGUAUGUAUGUAUGUACUAAUGUCUUACUUUGUAUUGUUACCUGGCCUAUUGUGUAGACAAGCCUGGCCUUGAACUUUCAUAAGGCCUCCUGUCUCUGCUUCCUCAGUGCUGAGAUUACAAGUGUGAGCCUCAUUUUACACAGGUCAUUUUGUAAGUGCUUAUAUGAAUCGUAUGUAUGUAUAUACACCUAAUCUUGGGUGUGAAUUCUCUGAUUCUCUCUUCUUUCUGCUUUCGUGAGUUUCUCUCUCCCAUAGUUCAUUUUAAAGAAAUAAAGAACAUUAACUCCUUGUGACUUGUGUAUCUUUAUAUUUACAUUAACGUUUUCAUGACUUACAUCCUUCUCCACAGUUAUUUUUAAUUUUGGAUAUGGAGUCACGUGUAUUAUAUUAGGUUGACCUUGAACUCCUGAUCCUCCUGCCUCCGAACUAAAGUUCUGGGGUUACAGGCCCAUGGCAUCUCACCCUGCUGUUUCCACAACUUUCUAAUUGAAUGUCUCCCCUCAUUACCUCUUCGUUUUGAGUCACAGUUGGAAAAGUUUCUACACAUCCAAGUUACAUAGGAAACUCACCCAUCUUUUUCACCUCUCCCAGUUAGUGCUUUUUCUUACAUAUUACAUGUAAAUCUCUCUUAUUUGGAGUUCAUUUUGUGCAUUGUAUGAGGACAAAGGUGACUGCAAAUUUACCAUAAGAUUAUCGGCUGCUUGGCUUGUGGUUUCUUCUGGGAAUUUUCUAGAAAUUCAUGAACUAUUCUAAAAUACAUGAACUAUUAGCCACGCUAGUGGCAACAUUGUGUGAGGAGCUUAGUCUGCAUGUCCUGCUGUUAGACUGGCCCAUGCAGAAGAGCAGUGUUUGGAAUCCUCAGCCUGCAUUAGUCUUGGAAGGAAGCUGUGAGUCACAGGUGCACAGGUGGACCUUCAAGAGAUGCUGCUGGGGCUGGACUGAGGUUCAGUUGGCAGGGUGUUUGCUUAGCAUGCAUAAGCAAUGCAUAUGAGUUCUAAGCAUAUGGAUUCCAUAGCAUAAAAGAGGCAUGGUAGCAAGCACUUGUAACUCCAGGUCUUGGGAGUUGGUAGUAAGAGGUUCAAGACCAUCCUUGGCUAUUCAAGUUUAAAGUCAGUUGAUGCUCAUGAGAAUCUGCUUAAAAAUGAAAAUAGAUGAGAAAGAAAAGAAGACAGACAGACAGACAAGUAAUUUCUUUUAGAAAGAAUGGUCAGGAGAUCCAGCUAGCAGGAAUGAAUAAUAGAAAUACUCUCUAGCAAGCAAGUGAAACAGGCAACGGAGGGGUCAGAAAUGGGGGAAGGGUGGAUGGCCAGGGGUGCCUUCAGACGACAGCUGCUCUCUCAAUUAAAGAAGGAAAGAGCUUCAUGGCUACAAAACCAAGUUCCCAUAAAGGACCAGAAUGCUAAAAAAUCAGAGUUGGGCUGGAAGCAUCAGAAGAGGUUGAGAAGUCACCUUAGAGAAGGGUGAGCCAGUGGCCAUAGUUUGGUGCUGCCUGCCAGGAGAACUCACGUUCACACACAUUCUAUGGUCUGCACUAAGUGCUUUGGAUUUAGCCCAGCAUGGAAAGUGAGCUAUGUUCUUCAAAUUCAGAGGUGGAAGAAGAAACUCAGCCAUCUCAGAGAGUUUUAUGGAUAAGCCCCAAGAGUAUUCAAGAAUGUAUUGCACAAAACCAAACACAACUUAAAAGGAUUUAAAGAGAUUUCUGACAUGGACCAUAAAAUCUGGCUCGAGGAAACAUCCAUGAGUUAAGAGCAUUGCUCCAUGUAAGAAAUAACUAAUUUCACUAAGUGAGUUAUCACUGCACUUGAGAGCAGAGGAAAGUUAGUGCUUGGUUUUGGUUAAUGUCACCAUUGCCAUUUAUGCACUCCCUCUUCCCUGGUUGUGGCAGGUUCUUCUAACCCCAGGUUGCAGAGACAACGCAGAGAACUUGUUCUGGCUGCACAUUCAGAAGCCAGACCCCAAACUGGCCACCUGAAAGAAAACCAAUGCAAUAUCAUUCACCAUUCAUCUUUAGUCCUGUCCAUCAAGCCAAAAUGUUGUGGAAAUAGGCAAAAUCCCAUCCUGACUAUACAGACUGAUCCCUGGGAUUCACUGCCAACUUGUCUAGUUAAUCAGUGAACUUCUGGCUCAGAGAGAGACACUGUAUCCAAAAAAAAUAAGGUGGAGAGAAAACAAAGAAGACGUGUGAAUAAACCUUAGGCACAUGCCCAUGUCUACCCACAUGUGCACACACAAUUGAACACACAUCCAUAAACAACACACAUACAUCCAUUUUAGUAUAACAAAUGAAUAAAUGUCUCUCAAGUAGAUAAUAAUUAAAGUAUUGUUAAAUUUAUUAAAUCUGACAAUGUAAUUCUAGGAAUACAUAAAAUGAGUUAUUAAACAAUAACUACAAACUUCUUUAGCAGGAAGUUUUUUUUAAAACUACCCAGAAUCAAAAUACACACAUAGA